UGAGUAACCUGCCUUCAGCUUUGGGAUAACCCUCGGAAACGGGGGCUAAUACCGGGUAUUCACUCUGGGUGGCAUCGUUUGGGGUGGAAAGUUUUUCGGCUGGGGAUGGGCUCGCGGCCUAUCAGCUUGUUGGUGGGGUAAUGGCCUACCAAGGCGGCGACGGGUAGCCGCCCUGAGAGGGCGACCGGCCACACUGGGACUGAGACACGGCCCAGACUCCUACGGGAGGC
rnacentral:rRNA from 1 species